rnacentral:rRNA from 1 species
CACGUAGGGGGCGAGCGUUGUCCGGAUUUAUUGGGCGUAAAGAGCUCGUAGGCGGCUCGGUAAGUCAGGUGUGAAACCUCCAGGCUCAACCUGGAGACGCCACCUGAUACUGCCGUGGCUAGAGUCCGGUAGAGGAGCGUAGAAUUCCUGGUGUAGCGGUGAAAUGCGCAGAUAUCAGGAGGAACACCAACGGCGAAGGCAGCUCGCUGGGACGGUACUGACGCUGAGGCGCGAAAGCGUGGGGAGCGAACAGG